GAGUCAAGAUAGCUAAGCAGCUCUGCUCUGAAAAGCACCCCGAGAGGGUAGUGGUGUACCUGAAUUUAUAGUGCUAGUCAGUAAUGGCAACACCCCCAAAUUGCGGGGAACCCCUAAUGCCCACGGUACUACACAGCGUCGAAAGGCCCUGCACGGUUACAAUCCACGGGAUGUUACAGUGGGUGAUCCGCAGCUGUUCCCUACCGCUGAGAAGCUACGGGAAUAGUUCAGAGACUAAAUGGGAGUGGGAGGCAGUGCCUUUUAAGAUAUAGUCCGUCUGGAAGCUUACACUUGCAG
rnacentral:ncRNA from 1 species